GGGGAAGCCGGGUUACCUGGGAUACGGUGGGGCUGCAGGAGUGAUGGGUUACCCCGGCAACGAAGGAGGCCAAGGUCCUGAAGGAGAGAAGGGUCAGCGGGGCCUUGCAGGGCGUGUCGGACUGAAAGGCUCUCGGGGUAUUUCAGGACCACCAGGUUUUCCAGGACCCCCAGGCCUGCCGGUGACGACCACACACAUUUUGCAAAAUAUUACACUCAAGCACACUUUCUUACCUGUGUGAAGUUGCCCCCCCACCGUAUGAAAAUAAAAUAACACUGCCAGUUUCUAGAAUACAGUUUCUGACCAGUGACGUCAUCCAGUGUCCCCCCACCCCCUCCUGUCCCCCACCUUGUGAAAAAUCUCCCAAACAUGUCUAUUCCAUUUGUGC